GACGAACCGUCCAACCGUUAUUCGGAAUCACUGGGCUUAAAGGGCGCGUAGGCGGCCGAGCGGGUCGCGUGUGAAAUCCUCCAGCUUAACUGGAGAACUGCCCUCGAUACCACUGCGGCUCGAGGAAGGAAGGGGCAAUCGGAACUGUCGGUGGAGCGGUGAAAUGCGUUGAUAUCAGGAGGAACACCUGUGGUGUAGACAGCUUGAUGGACCAUCACUGACGCUGAGGCACGAAAGCGUGGGUAGCAAACAGG
rnacentral:rRNA from 1 species